ACACAUNCAAGUCGAGCGGUAGAGAGAANCUUGCUUCUCUUGAGAGCGGCGGACGGGUGAGUAAUGCCUAGGAAUCUGCCUGGUANUGGGGGAUAACGUUCGGAAACGAACGCUAAUACCGCAUACGUCCUACGGGAGAAAGCAGGGGACCUUCGGGCCUUGCGCUAUCAGAUGAGCCUAGGUCGGAUUAUCUAGUUGGUGGGGUAAUGGCUCACCAAGG
rnacentral:rRNA from 1 species